rnacentral:rRNA from 1 species
UAAUGUAUGGGGAUCUGCCCGAUAGAGGGGGAUAACUACUGGAAACGGUGGCUAAUACCGCAUAAUGUCUACGGACCAAAGCAGGGGCUCUUUCGGACCUUGCACUAUCGGAUGAACCCAUAUGGGAUUAGCUAGUAGGUGGGGUAAAGGCUCACCUAGGCGACGAUCUCUAGCUGGUCUGAGAGGAUGAUCAGCCACACUGGGACUGAGACACGGCCCAG